rnacentral:misc_RNA from 1 species
GAUGAAGAACGCAGCGAAAUGCGAUACGUAAUGUGAAUUGCAAAUUCAGUGAAUCAUCGAAUCUUUGAACGCACAUUGCGCCUGCCAGCACUCUGGCAGGCAUGCCUGUUCGAGCGUCAUUUCAACCAUCAAGCCCUAGGCUUGCGUUGGAGCCCUGCGGCUGCCGCAGGCCCCUAAAAGCAGUGGCGGGCUCGCUAUCACACCGAGUGCAGUAGAUUACUCUUCGCUCAGGGCGUGUGGCGGGUUCCAGCCGUGAAACCCCCUACUUCUCAAGGUUGACCUCGGAUCAGGUAGGAAUACCCGCUGAACUUAAGCAUAUCAAUAAGCGGAGGA